rnacentral:rRNA from 1 species
GACGAACGCUGGCGGCGUGCUUAACACAUGCAAGUCGAACGGAAAGGCCCUGCUUUUUUGGGGUGCUCUAGUUGCGAACGGGUGAGUAACACUUGAGUAACCUGCCCUUGACUGUGGGAUAACUUCAUGAAACUGGGUCUAAUACCGGAUAGGAGCUCCUGCUGCAUGGUGGGGGUGGGAAAGUUUCGGUGGUUGGGGAUGGACUCGCUGCUUAUCAGGUUGUUGGUGGGGUAGUGGAUUACCAAGGCUUUGACGGGUAGCCGGGCUGAGAGGGUGACAGGCCAAAUCGGGACUGAGAUAAGGCCCAGCCUCCUACGGGAGGCAGCAGUGGGGAAUAUUGCACAAUGGGCGGAAGCAUGACGCAGCAACGCCGCGCGGGGGAUGACGGCAUUGGGGUUGUAAACCGAUUUCGCCUGUGACGAAGCGUGAGUGACGGUAAUGGGUAAAGAAGCACCGGCUAACUACGUG